GCUAAGGGGUGCUAUACUGCAGUCGAGCGGACAGAUGGGAGCUUGCUCCCUGAUGUUAGCGGCGGACGGGUGAGUAACACGUGGGUAACCUGCCUGUAAGACUGGGAUAACUCCGGGAAACCGGGGCUAAUACCGGAUGCUUGUUUGAACCGCAUGGUUCAAACAUAAAAGGUGGCUUCGGCUACCACUUACAGAUGGACCCGCGGCGCAUUAGCUAGUUGGUGAGGUAAUGGCUCACCAAGGCAACGAUGCGUAGCCGACCUGAGAGGGUGAUCGGCCACACUGGGACUGAGACACGGCCCAGACUCCUACGGGAGGCAGCAGUAGGGAAUCUUCCGCAAUGGACGAAAGUCUGACGGAGCAACGCCGCGUGAGUGAUGAAGGUUUCGGAUCGUAAAGCUCUGUUGUUAGGGAAGAACAAGUACCGUUCGAAUAGGGCGGUACCUUGACGGUACCUAACCAGAAAGCCACGGCUAACUACGUGCCAGCAGCCGCGGUAAUACGUAGGUGGCAAGCGUUGUCCGGAAUUAUUGGGCGUAAAGGGCUCGCAGGCGGUUUCUUAAGUCUGAUGUGAAAGCCCCCGGCUCAACCGGGGAGGGUCAUUGGAAACUGGGGAACUUGAGUGCAGAAGAGGAGAGUGGAAUUCCACGUGUAGCGGUGAAAUGCGUAGAGAUGUGGAGGAACACCAGUGGCGAAGCGACUCUCUGGUCUGUAACUGACGCUGAGGAGCGAAAGCGUGGGGAGCGAACAGGAUUAGAUACCCUGGUAGUCCACGCCGUAACGAUGAGUGCUAGUGUUAGGGGGUUUCCGCCCCUUAGUGCUGCAGCUACGCAUAGCACUCGCUGGGGAGUACGGUCGCAGACUGAACUCAAGGAUGACGGGGCCGCACAGCGUGAGCAUGUGUUUAUCGAGCACGCGAGACUAACAGUCUGACAUCUCUGACAUCCUAGAGAUAGACGUCCAUCGGGGCAGAUGAAGUGGUGCAUGGUUGUCGUCAGCUCUGUCUGGAAUGUAGCUAAGUCCGCACGAGGCACUGACUAGUGCAGCAUCA
rnacentral:rRNA from 1 species